GUCUAAUACUGUCAGGAAACUAGGACUGUCUGUCCAGCUCUGGAAGGAAAGCCACAUGGUGACCAGCUAUGCUCGAGAAAGUCAAGGUUGUAGGAAGCUUCCUAGCUACAGCCCCUCUGCCCCACUUCACUUCUUCCCUUCCCAGGGGCAAGCAACCACUAUCAUGUUUUUAGUCUCUAACCUCUGCUACUUCUGAAUUAUUCACCCUAAGGCAGUAUCUAUCAUUAUAAGAGGAUUGAAUUCUUACCACCAGCACCCCUAAUCUCUCUCCAAAUUAUGAAUUCUGCUCAUCUAGUGCUAAUCACAGCUAAGCCACAGAAUAAGGUAUGAUGACUUUUUCUUUCUUGUCUGAUUUUCCACCCUGGUAGUGAAAUCAGUUAGUGUCUUGACUAUGGUAAGCAUACAGCCUUACCACUGGCUUAUAUCACAAGCCCUGUUUUUGUGAAUCAGUAGUUUUUUACUUUGUGCCUUAUGUGGCACUCGCUCAAACCAAAGCUGCACUCCAAUUGCAUUAACUCUCCUUUCAAAAUUUGACACAUCAGUUACUCUGUCCCAGUUUUUCUGAGAAACUUUCCAUGGCAGCCUUCCUUCCCUAGCCAGGCGUGACUCCCCUUUAUGUAGUCCACUUGGUGAAUCCUCCCUAAAAUUUUUACUGCUUGUAAUUACAUAUAGGUGUGAGUGUCUGCUUGUGUGCAUGUGCACAGGACUGCAGGUGACCAUGGAGGUCUGAAGCUCAAGUUACAGAGUUUGCGAAGGCUGCUCGAAACCCCGUUCAGAUCAUCUGGAAGAGCAAUCUCUCCAAUUUAUACUCUACAUAUGUGAAGACAGAAAACAUUCGAAGAGAAGAAAAAAAACCUCAUCUCAAUGAACACAGAAGGUUUCUAUGAGGAUGCCUGUCCAUCAGUACCUCCUGUCUGAAGAGCCAACCUCCCUGAAUCAGUCGCUACCAACGCAGAGAAAAGCACAGUACUUACUCUUGGAGAUCAGUGAUUAGCUUUUCCUUUGCCUCAACUUCAUCUCGUAAACUACUGAUUUGUUUUUGGUGGGUUUCUCUGUGACUCUGGAUCUGCUGUUCAACAGCUUGCUGAAAUUCGGAAGGGAAAAGUUCAAAGUUAGAUUAAGAUUACUAAUAAUGAUGGAUUAAAGACAUCAGGGUGCACUAGACAGCAAA